rnacentral:lncRNA from 1 species
AUGGAACUUAAUCUCAACAGUCACCUGAGUUGAAGAUAGAGUUUGAGGAGUCAUCCCAAUAUGGAUAGCAUUUGUUGUAAAUUAGAAGGUGGUAAAAACUUGCCUUUGGAAAAAAGUUUAAAAAUUGCAGUGAGACUUAUGAAUACUCUUCAACUUCACCUGUUGGAAUAAAGGUCUUUCUUGUAAUCAGGAGAUCCUGUUGACAUGAUAAAACAGAAAGAGUCAGAGAGGAUCAGAAAUAAAUGAAAUCUCUCACAACUAAACUGCUUAUGUGUUCAUCCUGUUGACUGAUUCUUUUCUGGAUUGUGCUCCUUGUGGGCAGCAAAUCAACAGACUAUGUCCUCCUCUCCUACGUUUUGUCUGACAAGCAGCAUUUUUUAAAUAAAAGACAGGUGAACGAGUAAAUGAAUGCAGUGCAGAUCCAGUGCAGAUAGCUGCCUGCUGGCUGUGUUGGAACCAGGGAGACGUCAAAUGGUUAGCAGGUAUUCAAAAGGCGGAAGUCUAAAGAGGCCAAAGGAGAUGUUGAGUCACUGUGAAAUGCUCCUAAUUAGUAUGCCAACUUUUCCACCAGGACCCUGAG